rnacentral:lncRNA from 1 species
AAAGAGAGAUACAAUACCUGUAGUCUUUGUGGGUACGAACCCAACCUAGUUGGGUUACUAUACUUGAUUAUGAUUGCUUUAGCCUUAAUUUAGAGGUGUAGUUUGGGCAUGGAUCAAAAUGUUGGUGCUAUUUUCGGGGAUUAUGGUAUUUAGUAUAUUAAAGUUGCUAAAGUUCAUGGGUUUUAUUUGUUGUUCUUAGUGUAUACAUUGAUGUAUGCCUAGCACUAGG